rnacentral:lncRNA from 1 species
CCGGUGCAUUUUCUUUUCAGCGAAGCGUAUUUUUCCAUAGAUGUCUAUGUAUAUGUGUUUUCCUUGCUAGGAAGCGUAUAUCUGGCCGAAACGUUUUGUUUUCUAAAUUCUUUUAAAAACAUAUUUGACCAGUAUAUUUGACUGGCUCUAACUUUUUAAAUAAAACUCCGUAUGGACUGAUUAUUUUUCCUACCUCUCUCAAAUUUAAUAUAGUGUAUUUUAAGAUUUAUUUCAAAAAUAUUCAAACAACUUUUAUGUGUUGUUUUGGAGUUGCAUGUUGAAUGGUAUUAUUUUUGAAAUACGGAUUUGGAGGGAAGCGAACUGCUUCAAGAUUUUUAGGGUGUACACCACCCGCCUCAACUCCAAAGGCAAGCACCUUGAACUCUGAUUUGUGCUAAGAUGUUUGAUGUUUGUUGUGGUGCAUGGGAAUCUAUGAUUUCAUUAUUUUGAUAGGAACUCUCGCAUAAAAUCAUACUUGCAUGAGUGCAUGUGAUGGAUAAUUAUGUUGCCGAACAUAUAGGAUGCAAACGGUGAGUGGGUAUUUCCUCAUGCGUCGUAUGCCAAGUUGGUCUGGACGACCUCGGAGGAAGGUUAGUAAGGGUGUAUAUGAGACCAUGGGGCUGACAUCUCAUGGGACGAGAGUGGUCAUUAAAGGCUUGUCGGGGAGUGAUGGUAGUAUCACUGAGGUAAUUAUUUCAGGAAGAUUGCCUGGUACUAACCCUUGCAGGAAAUCUUAAACCUCCUAAGUCGACCGUAGACCGAGUCUUGUCUGUGUGUGACCUUACCUUUCAUGCUGCCACAGGUCUUCCCGAAGGGGAAUACAGUUUACUAGGUCGUAAACCUAUUACCAGGUACACACCAAGUAGAGGGGCCGAGAUGAAGGUAUCCAUGGCACUGGACUAAAUCUAGUCAUCCGUUCAGGGGGGCAUGGGUGUUUCCGGUUUGGGACUGAGAGGGAAUGGCCAUUCCAUUGUAGCGCGCGGUAUAAAUUUGAUCCCAUGCUAGUUGAGGUUGGAGUCUCCCCAUCUUAUGGUUUUUCACCGUUAGAGUAGCGCGGGUGAGGCCGGUCUUCGUGGGGGAAAAUGGGUGUGUACUGGUUCUCGGCGUUUACUUAUGAGAUACCGUACACGGGAUUAGUACACGUGACUAUUGAAACCCGUGGGUUGUGGGUAAAGAGUACACCCUCUGCAGAGUCAAAGCUAUUCGAGUAGCCGUAUUCACGGUCAAGCACAACUGGUGGACUAGUCAAGUGUCGGUCUGAGUGUUGGUCUUUGGAGGAAUUAGACUUAAACAGGAUAAUUCGUGUGAACCGGGAUGAUAAGUAUUGCUAUUAUUAUGAAUUCUGUUAUGGACUAAUCCUGUGUGAUAUAAGGAUUUAUUAGAGUGUCCUUGGGACGGUUCUACCUCCAGGGUACUAGAUAUAUCUAUUAUUUUAUUAUGGCCUUUUUGUGGUGUCGCUCAAACGCCCGAUUGUGGCGAGUAUUUAUUUUAUUAUGCCCUUUUUGUGGUGUCGCUUAGACGCGUGACUCUGGCAACUAUUACUACUUUCAUAUAAGCUCUUUAUGUGGUGUUGCUGAGACGCCCGACUGUGCCAUGUAUGCUAUUACUUAUUCAUUCUUACCUUCAUAUAAGCCCUUUUUGUGUUGUCGCUCUAGACGCCCAAUUGUGGCACGAAUAGUAAUUUUCCUUUUACAAGCCCCUUUAUGCUUUGUCGCCGAGAUGCCCGAUUGUGGCUUGUAUUGCAUGUCCUUCCGAUGUGUCGCCUCAGAUGCCCAAUCAACAAGCUUAUAAUUUACUGUUACCAAUCCUUGCUUGCUUAUACAACAUUGGUGGAAAUGGUUUAUCUGCAUGAAUGCAUCCAUGAAUUAAUUCUUAUCGCAUGAUAUAUUUAUUAAGGGAAUUAUGCAUGCAUCUCACCUACUUUAACUUAUCUGUUUUCUAGAUGUUUGCGAGUACAUUCAAAGUACGAACUGGCUUGUCCCUGGCUAUUGUCUUCGCCAGAUUUCAUUGGAGAGGAGCACGAUGUCAUCAACCCCGCGAAUCUAUGAGUCGAGGAUAGCAGCCUUGUGAGAUAGGAACUUAUCCAGGUCAACUAUUCCUGUGGAAAUGGAGUUCAUGGGCACUGGAGAUUCCUCGAGUCGCUUCCGCCGUCAGCCUCAAACUUGGUUCAAACCAGUGGACCUUUAUAGUCUUGUCACCCAAACUUUGUAUUUUUUUCUUGGUAUUUAUGUAUCAAGUGAGUGUCCACUAGCUAACAGAUUCCUGGGGCUAGUGAACAUAAGGGCCUGUUUUCUGGAAAUUGUUUUCCGAAAAAGCAGUCGCCACAACCUUGGUAUCACAGCCAAACUGACCAUUGGUUAAACCUAUCUUAGCCCGGUCGCUAUCCCUAGCCAAGAUAUUUAUAUAUUCGCAACCCAGCGUAGCCUGCCCAUUCACCAACUUAAGUGGCCAUCCGACAUGUUUGGAAGUCGGUGCCCAACAUGUCAGCCCGUGUUUAAGUUGUGUGACUGUGGGGACCCCGACUUACUAGUCGAGAAUCGCCGUGCUCAAUGAUCCCAGAGAUCCAUGCUCACCGAACAUAGAUGCCGAAUAAAAGAGUCUUACAUCCAUCCAUAUCGUUUGAUACAACAAAUGACCACUUCAGUCGAGUCUUACAUAAAUAGGGCCUUAAAGGCCUACACUUGAAACCGAACCAAUAGNNNNNNNNNNNNNNNNNNNNNNNNNNNNNNNNNNNNNNNNNNNNNNNNNNNNNNNNNNNNNNNNNNNNNNNNNNNNNNNNNNNNNNNNNNNNNNNNNNNNNNNNNNNNNNNNNNNNNNNNNNNNNNNNNNNNNNNNNNNNNNNGAAUUAUUGGUUGAAAGCGUGAACCCAUGCCAUCGGCCUUAACCCACAGGCAUUCUGAGUGGGAAACAUCCUAGCUCACAUGAACGUCACCGAGUUAAUCUUCACCAUAUCCUGUCUUUCACACCUGGUCAAUGAAAUAACCAGUGGCAAGCCAAUGAGUACUUUGAAUGUACUCGCAAACAGCCCAUGAUAUGAACAAUGAAAGUGAAGGAUGACAAUGUCAUGCAUCUCUAGUAUAACUCAUCUGGGUGGAAUGAUCAUGAUAUGCAUCAAGAUAAAUAAUUACUCUUGAAGAACAGGUUACAGAUACCAAUAUAUCUGUCGAGGGCUGAACCAUCCGGAUUCACCCUAUAUGCCAAGUCACCGAACUUGGUCUUAUCAUUGCUAUCAUAGAAACAUCUUUCUCAACACCACACACACACACAACUCAUGCACGCCUGGUUUAUGCGGAAAUAUCAGGACGUAGUUUAAGCAGGAUUACCCAACUGUCCUUGACCGUGGACACGGCUAUUCGAAUAGUUUACACUCUGCAGAGGUAGCGCGCUGUACCCACGAGAAUCAGGAAACUUCCGUGUCAUCCACGACUCGCGGUAGAUCACAUAUACCCGAGGUAAGUACCCGAUCAUUAUCUUUCCCCUAACGGUACUAAACAAGGAGGUCCAUUCGAUUGGUACCUAGCCCACAUGUUGUACGUCUUAUGAGCACCGACUCUGCACAGUAUCAACCAUGCGGGGACCAAUGGUGUGCCUGGAACUCAUAAAAAUGGCAUAGUCGCCCUUCCUGGCACGACCCCAUCACGAGAGUGACGACAAUCACUCCUGCCACUAGUAAUGUGGCUCCUUGCUAGUACCGACCAGAGUAAUCAACAAAGCCCCGUCCCAUAAAGGGGUAACGUGGUCGCACAGGUGAGGUUGGGACGGUCCACACAUCAUAUAUCUAAUCCCAUUUCCGAAACCAUACUCACACAAAACACUGGUGCACCACUUCACCAAAAGUGGCCACCCAUCUCAUCAUCACCCUCGGGCAUUAGUGGCACCCGACGGAUUUUUUCAUAAGCCUUUGAUUUAACUCAUCAUCAUGCUCAUGCAAUGGUUCUCUAACUCUACUAGUCAACAUGAUAGUAGCAUGAUCCUCAUAGAUGGUAGGAUCAAGCUCAUCAUGCUUGUGCUCCGAGGAGCCAUAUGUAUAACAUCACCAUCAUGCAAGUGCUUCGAAGAAGCCUUCGGUAACAUCACACCAAUGAUGAACCGGCACUAUGAUCACAUGCAACGGAAAAGUACUUGCUAUUCUAGCAUGCAUCAAUUUAUAUGCUCAAGUCAUGGUCAAAGGGCUGCUUGCCUUGCUCACGUAAGUCCUCGGGGUCUUCGAGGUCUUCCGCUCCAACUCCGAAUACUUCGUCUACUGUCCACUAUCGUCGGAAACAACCAUAGUAAGCCAUAUAGCAAGCAGAAUAAAAGUGUUCUAUAAAUAGAAGUUCUAUUUUUCUUGGACCUCUCUGGUCAUAAGAAAAAUACCUGAAGCUUCUCACACGAGAUUUGAAUCAUCAAGGAUUUUUAAUGGAUGGAAAGAGCAAUAGGUGAUCAUUGAAGAAGCCAACAGAAAUCAUUCUGUUAAAAGUGAGUGAAGGCACCCAUUUAACAGAGAAUGAUUUUAGAAAUAUUUAGGAAGUGGUUUCAAUGGAUUUGGAGUUGGUAGGAAUAUUCUAGAGAUUUUACAAUGUGGAAUAAAUAGCAAUAGGAGCUAUUUAUUUAUUGCAACAGAAAUAAGCCACACAAAAAUGCUCACCAGGGUUCUAAAAAUAGGGGAUGAUUUUAGAAGACCCUAGGAAUUUGAAUCAGUCCAUUUGGAGUUGAUUUGCAUCCUAGGGAAAUUUCCAAAGUGGAGUCAAAUAUCGACAAUUGUGGAUUUAAAUUAAAAUGCAACAGAAAGUGGGUGGGGAAAAUGUGGAAAGCACUUAUUUGGAUAGGCCUCAUUUUUAGGAUCCUGCAGAAAUUUGAAUCAAUGAAAUUGGAGUUAGAAUGAUUUUAUAAUGGAAUUUUGAAACUUGCAGAUAAAUGAAAAGGAGAAAGUGGUCUCCCGAUUUGGCUAUCAUGCGCACUAGGCACUAGGUAGGACUUCGGGCUGGACCAGUUGCGUAGACCGGCCGGAACCCUGGUGACGCCGAAGGCGCACUUCCUGGAGUAUGUCUCCUGCGCAGGGACACACGAACGAGGGAGGGCGCGACCACUUAAAGCUGGGGGCCCGACCGGCGUGUGGCUGACGCGGGGGCCCCGCCUGUCGGGCCCUUCUUCCUCCUCCCACUCGAUCUGGGAAUAGGCAGGGGAGGCAGGGCCGGCCGAUGCAGGACCGGAUCCGGUGGCGCUCCGGCCAUCCCCAGCCAAGGUGAGCGCACCUGCGGGCUCGGGGGACCGCGCCGACCCCAUUCCCUUGCACGACGCUUGUAGGGAGCUUCGGGGAGAGCUGCCCAUGGCCGCGGCAGAGGGCGGCGAUGGAGGCCGUUGGGAGAGGAGCUCUGGCCACCUGGAGGGAAGAGGGAGGAUGGGGACUGGUGCCGCAGGUUAGGAGGUCCUCCUGGAGGCGCUAAGGAGAAGGAGGGAGCUCGGGGAGGCUCGGAUUCGAGCAUGGCCGAAACGGCCAUGGCGACGGCCAUGGAAGAAGAGGUGGGGAGAAGGGCUUGGGAGAGAAGGGUGGAGGCUCAUGAGCUUCACCGGAGAAGGGGAGAGCCGAGUGUGCGCCACAGAGGCUCAGGGAGAGGAGAUAAGGGAGGGGGAAUGGAGAGAGAGCUCGGGAGCUCCCUGGAGCUUCCUGGCAUGGCAAGGACACACGUCCCUGGGCACCUUGGAGCUUAGCCAGCAUGGGGGAGGAGCUUGAAUAGUCAAAUGGGGUUCCCUGGUGCUCAUAGACAUGCUGCAACGGUGGGACACGCCCUGGAGAAAGAAGACAAGGUGCAGAGCACCGUUUCUGCAUGCCAGGGAGGUGGUCACCAUGGCCACUCAUGGCCACAUGGCAUACAAGUCCAGUCAAGCAUGUCUGGCACGUAGGGCACACCUGCAGCAAGAAGACUCUUGAGUUUGGCAACUAGUGGAGGUGGUCUGAUGUGGUUUGGACUCUGGUUUAGUUUGCAGCAGCAAAAUAGGGGCUGGCAUAAGGGGUUUUUAUAGGAGGGGAUGGGAGGUGAAACCAUGUCUAGUAGUGUUUUCAAUAAAAGGACUACAAGACUGCAAAGUUCCAGUUCAAGAAAGCAAGUGUAGCUAGUACUUGCUGUACAAAGCCACAUUUCAGCCAAAAAUGAACUUGAAGAGGUGUUGCUCAUUUUUCCUACAUGAGCAUGCCAUCCAUUGGUUUGAAAUGAUGCAUUGACACACCAGAGAGGCUCUGGAAAGAAUUGGGGGUGAUAGCUUAAGCAGAAGAAUGGAAAGAGAGGUAAAACAGUGCUGCGAAGGGUGAAAAUGAUAGAAAGUUAAAAAGGGACCUUCUCCAAUAAUUGACCAGUGGCCAAGGAAAAGUUACUAGAAGUAAAAUGUAACUAGUUAUAGCCGCGGUAGAAAUUUGAGCUCAAGGGUAAAAGUGGAAGGGGCAAAAGAAGCCAAAUCAGUGAGUGCACACAAGGUGUUUGAUCUAUGGCUAGGCAACCAGAUGGAUUUCAAUGGCUAUGGAACUUAACAGGGUCAAAUAAUAGAUGAAAAUAGGCUUGCAUACCAAAUUUGGGAUUUGCUGGAGAAGUUAUCCAAUGUAGACUUGGAAAACCCAUGAAAUGGGCAGAAAUGACUUUAUGCCUACAACCCUAUUCAAAUCAAUUCCCACAAAUCCAAUAUUUGGUGUAGGGGCAUUAUUUGAGCAUUAAAGCAUGCACAAAAAGUUUGAGGUCAAUUGGAGAAACUUUUUAAUGUAAAGUUUACAAAAGUCAGAAAUCAACAGAGAGGGUUUUGAGGUUCUUAUGGCAAGUUCUUAUAUUCUCCUUGGUGUACCACUUGGUGUGGAUCCCUUAUUGGAGUAGUAGAACAUGUCCACCAAAUUUGAGCACAAUUGGAGAUACUUCACAAUGUAGAGUUGCUCAAAUUUGAUUCUGGACAGAUAGGGUUUUAGAGUAGUUAGGGGAGCCAAAUCAACUUGGAUUGAAAUGAAACUUGGCAAGAUCAUCAUUUAUAUCAUAGAUGACAAGCUAAAGUUUUACUGGAAUUUAUUGAUAAUAUUUCUAAUAGAAAUAUUUUAAAAGCUUGAAAUAGGCAGGAAUGGUUUUGGAGGGGUUUGCCCAAUAUUUUGAACAUGACCAGGUGUUCAAACUCAUAAAUAUGGAAUAAGUAUAUCCAUUGAGUUUCCCUAAAUUUUCUUAAAUAUUUUGAAAGCAAUAAAAAUAACUUUCCUUCAUAAGAGACCAUUUGUGGUCUCACAGAAAGGCUUUUAAUAUAAAAUAAUAAAGUAACUUUUAAAAUAAUAAUAUGGUGGUUUUUGGAAGACCUUUCGAUAAUAGGUUUUAAAUAAAAUAAUUGGUGCAAAAGAAAUUCCCUAAUUUGAGGACUUGUAGUACAAACCUCAUCUCAGGGGUUUGAAAGUUUAAUUCAAAGAAAUGCUUUUUGGGUAAAAAUAAAUAUUGGUGAAAAUAGAUAUUUGUCCUAAACACAUGGCCUCAUCAUUAGGCAGGAGAUCAUGGGUUGAGGAGGUGAUUAAGGGAGUGACAGGAUUUAUGGGGAGCAAUGACAUGCAUUCAAGCAAACAAGCAAACAAUGGUCACUCCAAGCAUCACAAGCAUUCACAAUUUUUUUAAUUGGUCCUAACUUUUGGAAUUAGUUAAUUAGUCAGGAAGGCCAAAAACUGGUGUUACAGACCUUACCCCCUUAAGAAAAUCUCGUCCCCGAGAUUUGUUAAGGCGGAAACAAGGGUCUGCUCCUGUUAUGCUGCAGGACUUACUGGCAGCAACAAUCCAAAUACGCGGUCUGAUGGGGUCACCUCAAGAGUACCACUUAUUGGUGCAUCUGCGUUCUACGAGGAUGUUGGAGAAAGGGAAAGUUGUCAUACAUGGUUGCUAGUCGUACCUAUUGCCCGGUACUUACUCCGGCUGACAAGUGGGCCCAGGGUCCGCCGUCAGCCUCUUAUUCUCCCUCUGAUUCUUCUUUCUUGGGUGAGUCCCCUGUGCUGCCUCCACUUGUGGUGCCUAGGGUGUAUGGUGUCCGGGGCCACCCUACGAUGGUGUGCGGUGAGCCAUCUACCGGCACACCGAGAACUCACCUCGCGGGCCUCGUAUGUCGGCACUGCUGUGGGAUUCCCAGCGAGAACCGACGGCCAAGCGGCAAACGGGGCUGGUGGCCUGGCUAGUGGCUCUCCGAGCCUGGCUAUAAAUUGGCCAGGGAGUCCUUCUCGUGCUCCACCCAGCCUCGCCACUUGCUGCUGCUCCAGUCCUCUUCUUCUUCUUCUGCUGCUGCAAGUGCUCAAGGAAGGAUGCCAAUGGCGGAUGAGACUCCGGGGUGGCUCAUCAUCUUCCUGUCCGGGAUGGUGGCGUUGUUGGUCGGGGUCUCGACGCUGUACUGCGCGAUUGUCCACGAUGAUCGCCAUGAUGCUGCCGCCCGCAUGGCGGUUCUCCGCGGCGGCAGAGUUCAUGACGAUUAGGCACCUGCUCGGCGAACGCGUGGUGUUAGUGUGCCAUUGGUGUCCUUGCGGUCUCUUCUUACGAAGGAACCGAGGUGUGCCAUAGUGGCAAGUGGUUAGGCGUUGGUGUGCUGUGUGGUCGUGGAUGCAGUUGGUCCGGGUGGAGGUUUCUCCUGGUGGGUUUGUCCUUGCUGGCCUUACUGUCUUGUGAUUAACGUAGUUGAUGCUGGAGUUGCAAUAAAAUGCGUCGUUCUUCUGUGUCGUCGAGGCUCCUUGAUCAUGUGGAUGCUUCACCACGCUCGUGAAGACUAUCUUUGGUUGCCGGGGUUGUAGUCUGCGGUGUCUGUGGUCCAGCUAAACAACACUGAGGUACUUGUCCUCUUAAUGGGUGAAUAAGUAUGUCAUCAGUGAGGAAGACAACAUACCUUCCCCAAACAUGACAUAAGCUCAGUUCUCGAGAGUCAGGUGAGGAAAACGGGACUUUCUAUGGGCGGUACUGGCCAUAUUUUAAUGACUUAGAGUCGUCUUCUAUGGUCGCAGUCCGUCCAUCUUGUGGCUCAGCAAAGCUUUAGGGUCUUAAGGAACUUAGGAUGCGGGCGAACAGUUAUUAUCUUAUCUCUAAGCACAUUCCUUAGAUGCCAAUAGUUUGACCUCUAAUCUCGGGACGAUAUCACCUCAUCUCAUCAAAGAUACCAUCCCACGGGGUCAACUCCACACCGCUCAUGCUAGUCAACUCUGGGUUGAGGGCAGAACUAAACCCAAACACUAUAAGUAUGGUAUAGUUUCGAUGCACAUGCAUUCCUAUGCAAUAUCCUCAGGAGGCAUACGAGCUCCUAUGGUUAAAGACUCCACAAAUCCAAAUGUCCAUCUAAGUCAUCCAAUGGACAGGGUACUACAUUACUAUAUUAAGGAAACACAUAGUAUACCAAUCCAAUAUCUUGUUUCCUUUCUAUGAAUACGACCAGGUGAUCCAUCAAUCCAAUCAAUCAUUACUGGACCUAUCACUCCUACAAAUCCAACAUAGAUGGGGUUCUGCAUAAUCUCUUAGAGUCCUCAUAAUUCACAUAUCACUGCAAGAAUUACGUCAUAGUAUAUCCACCAACUUCAAUAAUCAUGGCCCACUACUAGGAAAAGGCUUGCUAAUGGCGCACCUAUUUUUGCUACUAAUGGCGCACUAUAGGUGCGCCACUAGCAUCACGCCAUUAGAUUUUUUUACUAAUGGCGCACCACAAGUGCGCCAUUAGUAUCUGGUAUACUAAUGGCGCACCAGGUAGUGCGCCAUUAGUAUUGCUCAUGGUGCGCCAUUAGUAUCUGGUAUACUAAUGGCGCACCAGGUAGUGCGCCAUUAGUAUAGAUCCCAGUGCGCCAUUAGUAUAGAUCCCGGUGCGCCAUUACUAUAGAUCUAGGUGCGCCAUUAGUAUAGCUUAUGGUGCGCCAUUAGUAUGCCUCCCAGGGCCAUAUUUACCCAUAUGCUCUGGCUUACUAAUGGCGCACUAGUGUGCUGAGUGAUGCGCCACUAGUGUGCUGAGUGAUGCGCCACUAGUAUGAAUAUUAGGUAUUUAUUUUAUUUUUUCUGAUAUUUGCACAGAUUACAAAAUAUAUUAUUGCACAGAAUAUAGAUAGCACAACAUAUAAACAACAGAUUUAUCGAAUACAAUAGAAGAUUAGUCUCUGAAUACAAUUCAUCAUAUUAGUCUCCGAAUUUAAAAUACCGAACAAAGUUAGAACAUUACAAGUCUCGAGACCGCGAGUAGCGAGUUUGUCUUCACAUUACAAGUCGAUAUAUCGACCAUCUAAACUACCAUCACAUAUAGAAGAGAGUUGCGGUCAUCACGAUGAGCAUAAUCGCAAUGAAACUAGUCUUCAUCCGGUUCCUCCAAUGCUCCCUCCUCUCUCCCGCUAGAUAGCGCGCGUAUCUAACUUCCGCCUCCGCCCUUUGGUGUACCCUUUGUAACUGUUACCGCUGAAUCGGUGAACCUGUCUCCGACACUCCUCCCAGUCGUCGUAGACUCCGGGAACCUUACCCUUGUACACGACAUACGACGACAUCUCUAUGCACUAGCCAAACAAAACGUUAGUAGCAAUUCACAGAGACAUACAAGUUCAUUAAAGUUUAAUAUUACAACUAUAACAACACGAUUCAUGGUCCUACUAAUAAAUAGCAUUGAUUAUAUAUAAGUUGAACGACUGUCCGAACCAAAGAGACAUACCAGUUCAUUAAAGUUUAAUAUUGCAACAUGAAUUAGUAGCGAUUCACGGGAACGUGGAUGAAGCCGCCGUAUUUCGUGAUGGUCAUGAAAUUGCGGUCGUUGUCAGCCUGCAUUUGUAGCAUUGUAUCUAUCUCACUAUUGGACAACAGAGAUCUGAGGUAGAACUGCCCCGAGGUACGAAGGACAUCUUGAUGGAUGAUUUCGGCAAACUCCGACUGGAUGCGGAAGAAUUCUUGUCUGAUGUCCGCAUCCUGGAUUGCCGACAAGCGUGCGGCCCAAUCAUUGAGAUUAUUUGGUAGCCGAAGGUGAUUACUGUCCCGUAUGAUCGCCCGCAUGUGAUGGAGGGCGUAGUAGGCAUCCUUCUGACUGCCAGGCGGCUACUUGACGCAGGCGAACGUCGUAUUGUGGGUGAACACGUGCUUGUCGUGCCUGAGACUUGUCCUGCUGAAGGUGCCUCCAGAUAUGGCGUAGCCGGGAAGAGCUUCAUCAAGAACUUUCUUGAUAUUUGUGUAGUCUUUUUUUGACUGACGGUCCGAGUCAAAAUACGUGGCCAUGGAAUAUUUCAGGCUUAAGAGGACGAGUGUGCAACGUGUGUCACUGCACAAAACACGGAAUGUUAGAAAAAAAAGGACGAUCCAAAUCUAAGAAAUCAUAUGUUACGUGGCGAUGAGGGGAUAACUUACCAGGGAAAGUAAGGCACGAGGAAAUUAUCCUUUUCUGAGUUUGCCAGAAUGACGCCUUCGAGGUAUGAACUCGCGACUUGCCGGUCCCCAGCGCUGCCCAAGAUCUUGGCACGCAUAUAGAAGGGGUCGACUAUCACUAGGUCCAGGGCCUUCUCUCUAACGAUCCGCAUCUCCAUACUCAGCGAAAAUAGCCGAACGAAGGUGUAGUGCAGCGGAUGAAGGUUAAACAUAGCGAAGAUGUCAGCAAACCGCAGGACGAUCAUACCCCCGAUGGCGCUAUCGACAAAGCCCUUGCCCUCUGGCACCUUGGCCACGAAAACCGGGUAUGCCACAUUAUUCUCGGAGAGACGCCGCUUCUCCAAACAAAGAACACUGUCAUGCAGACUCCGCAUAGCACCGGUUGCAUCAUUGAGCGGAUUAGUCGGUAGCAUCGGCCUACCCGCCACAUGCACCCUCCUCGAGAUAUCCUUAGGUGAAGGUGGCCCGUCCAGAGCACAGAUCGUACUCAGUGCCGGCUGGCUCGUACCCUUGUUAGUCUUUCUUUUCCGUCCCUUCUUCUGCUGAUGUAAUGGGAUCCAGUUCAUCUGCUCAGAGACCACCUUCUUGAGUGUGUUGGGGCUUAUAAUAUUUCGCACCUCGGCUAUCUGAGGCUCGGUGAAGGCGGCGGCUGGAGGCGUCUCCUCAAAACUAAACUCCAGACAACGCCUGUUGCAAUUGGGUUUCUCCGCGUUACCAGCUAGAUCACGGUCGUCUUUUGCAGGGUUGGGUUCUUGAGAAGGAGGCCCCAAGAAUUCCUCACCGUACCCAUGUUCAGCAAAGUACUUAUCGACCUUGGUAAAUGUACCAUCGUCAUCAUCAUCGUCGUUCGGAACCUGUGCCAUAUGCAUGUCCGGAUCAUGUGCCAUAUGCAUGUCCCGUAGCGUUGCGGCGGUCUUGCCAUGGCUUGGCGCCGGCACGACUAGCGGUGUUGUCUGUGGGGUGGUGUCCCCCGCCCCCAAACGAAUCUGGCUCUUCGGCCAAAGCAAGGGCCAACUUAAGCAGGCGCUGAGGGUCAUCACAUCAUCUAUGUCGGCCCCAGCGGGGUGGAACGGAGGUAACAAGUCAUCGCAGCCUGGCAGCACCCGAACCAGUUGAACCCUAUACAUGGUGGGUGGUAUCGGUUUACCAUGGAGCGUGGGGUUGCCCGGUUGAAUGAUUCUGCCCUUGGCGACAUUGAUCAACUCGCCGCCCAUGAAGUGCAGGAGAGUGCAUGGAACGUCGGCGCCGGCGCCCUGCGAAAACGUGUAGGGCGUCAGCGGAUGCCCAGUCAAAGGCAAGGAGAUGAAGUCAUCGGCCGAGAGAGGCUUAGUUACCGUGAUGGCGUCGAGCUUGGCUAAUGUCGAGGCACCGCCAAUGGCGGGCGUGCAAGUGACGGAGGGGCCGCUUGCUGCCGAGGUGCCGGCCGGCGCCGGAGACACCAAUGGCGUCGCUUGCGCGUUGUGCGAGUUGCUGGCCAUGAAGCUGGGAAUCGGGGGCGGCCCCUGUUGGCCACCCGCAAUCCACGCCUGCAGCCCCUCAAUCAAGGUAGGCACAAUGGCGGUGAUUACCCCUCCCACUUGGUGUUGCACUAGCUCUUGGACCAUCUCCGGAAUCCUCGCCACUUUUGCCUUGAGUUCUUCAACCUCGCGCGACUGGCUUACCAAGUUGGUAUUUCUCUCCUUUCGCCCACCAGCGUUAUAGUAUGACGACCAUUUCGUGGACAAGUUUUUUCCGGCCACACGACCAGCUGACGACGGCUUACUGGACUUAUCCUUGUUUUUCAUUACGUUAAACGCCCUAUUUAAAUUGGUGUCCCAAUGGGAGCUCUGAGACGACCCCGCGCUACUGCUUUCAGUGUCCUGCGGAAGGAAUGAACCAUUUAUAAAUUUGGCUUCAUUAAUUAGAAUGCAACCAUAUGGAGUUAAUUACGUGGGGUGUAUUCCUUACCACAACACGCUCAAGCGCCCUGGUCUUCGCAUCCGUGGUAAGCUCCUUUGUUACUGGGUCCACCUUGUACCGGGCCCUGACAUAGUUCCUGGUCUGCUUGUCACCGUAUUUCUCGAAGCAAGGUGGUAGGCCUUGCUCGGCACGCUCCGCGUCCUCCUUGUCCCAUAUAGGUUCCGCCACUCUGUAACCGCCGGGACCGAGUUGGUGGACCCCUAAGUUCAACUCCCGCAUUUCUUUCCCCCAUUGACUUGAUUCCGCGGUUGCCUUGCUCUCGCACUUGAUCUUGAACUCCUUGUAAUCAUCUUCGCUGAUCGAAGGAUUUUUCGCCUUGAUCUUCUCAUAACUAUCAGCUUUGUCAAUCAUUCUCUUCACCACGCUUCUCCAAGUAGACAGGGCCUUGCUCAUCUUCGUGAGGGCGGCACUGUUCACUUUAUUCCUUGAGAGGCGUGUGUUUGCGACGUCACCGGGGAACUUGUAUCGUUCGUGCAGCUUGGUGAAGAGGAGGUUGCGCAAAUUCCCUCGGUCCUUAUGCCUUAGGUUCUCGGUGUUGAUCGAGACAGUGCUCCGGAGAAUGCACCCGAGCUGAACCGCGUACCCCUUGACUAUUUCUUUGGGCACCGUUGGAUACCCGUCGGAGUUCACUUGUGUAAAUUCCUCCUUUACGGUGCUGAGCACGUUCGGGCGCCGGUCCUUCCGUUGCCUCUUCGAUUGGCUUCCAUCUGUGCGUGCGCUGCCAUCAUCAGUGGUGGCAUCCUCGGCGGCACCAUCAGUGGUGUCAUCCCCGACGCCACUAGGGGUUGUGUACUCGGGAUCGGUGUCUUCCGCGGCGUCCUCAUAGCGGUGAGGUUCUUCCUCCAUCUCCUGGGACAGCUCCCAGAAUGGCUUGCCCGAACUGCUGGCCUCAUCGUUGUGGGCCAUGUUUCGCUCUAAAUAGGAAAAAAGUUUGGUCAAAAAGUUGGGCCUAAUCACUUGGCUCUAUUGCCACCUAUGGUUUAAUGCAGCAAGAAUAAAGGGGUAGUUGAUCCUACUUAAUUAAGUAAUAAUAUACCCCGACCCAUGCAUUAGUCGCAAGUACCCCAUAUGUCCUAUUUUUAGCAAAGUCAUGCUAAAAUUCACGGAAAAUUUCAGCAUGACCUUUGCUGAAAAUAGGACAUAUGGAGUACCCGAAUUUGCCGGAACGGAAGUUAAUCGACAUUCCGGCAAACUCAAGGGCCUCUCGGGGUACCUGCAAAAUCAUCACGACACGAUGGUCGGAGAGCUCGGAGAAGGGUGAGCCCGGGCUCAGAAACGAAUAUCCCAAACUACUAAUACUACUACCAACUUUCUUGCGUGUGCACAACUUUCUUGAACCACCUUUAUUAUGUUGCAGAGUCAUAUAAGGAUGAAACUGAUAAGAAAAAAAGUUUAAAUACAACAUGUUAAAUAUGAAAUCUGCAAUAAAUCUUGGCAGGCUAGUGAAAUAAGCCUCUUGUAUCAAUGCUAGUGAAAUAAGCGGGCAGAGUCACAUUAUGUGUAUUUAAGCCCAGGGGGUGAUGGAAGUAGAACAAAUGACAUCUCCACUAGAGUGCCAAUUCUGGUUUUGGAGCAUCGGGUUCGGUGGCUGACCACGGGCAUAACUAGUUAGUAGUAUGAGUUUUUGUUUUACAGAGUUUCAAGAACCUAUGUGCAAAUAUUACUUGGUAGUUGCUGGUCUUUAGCAAUGAGCCUGUCCUGAAUAGAUCUAAAUCAGAUAUUCCAAGUAGAUGUUUUACUCCAGCAACGAACGAGAAGAAAGGCGUGCUACUUAAUGGCUCAAACGAGACCCCCUCUCGUGGAGAGAGUGCUAUACUAGGGAGUGUUGCUCCCGUUGCCAGAUCACAGAGUCACAAGUUUCUAACUCUAGAUUUACAGUUAGCGUCUCGUCAGAAUGCCAAAAUCAACUCAAGUUCCCGUGUCAAGAGAGAGAAACUAGAUCAGGGGUUUUCUAUUUUUCCUUCAGCAAGACCUCCCAAGGAUGUGCAAAAAACAAGUGGCACAAAAUCUUCUUCUAACGCUAGCUUGGGAAAACUAUCUAAUUUAGAUCUUAAUGUAUCACCGGACCCGGUUGAUCAACUUGAAGGUUUGCCUACAAUGCAGGCUGGCUUGAACAUACCCCAUCAUAGAAUCUUUCAGCAUCAGAAAGCACAUGUUCCCUCAGUGGCACCCUUUUCUUCAGUCAGCAGUCAGCUGAGUCUAAAUAUUGACAAUACUCUGAAACUGUCGAAUGCAUAUCAACUUUCUAAUAAGAGUGGAGCAGCUGAUGUUACCUUAGAUUUGCAACUUAAACCACCAACCAGACCUGAGCUUGGUAUAAGCUGGAAAGGUCUUGCUCCUGAUCCAGAGCUAAGCCUCUCUCUAUUUGUGAAACAAGCCUUUAAAUGUACGAACUUGAAAGAACUAUUGAGACUUCUGCAACAGUUCAGAAAAGUAAUGAUCAAUUCUCUCUAUUAUCAUUUCUAGUUCACAUAGUUUGAUAACUUGGAUGCAUAAAGGCUAUUGAUGUAGAAAAAAAGACACUUUACAAUACCAAGCACAUCAGAGCAGACAUUAGCAAUAUAUCACAGAGAAGUACAUGCCGAUUAACAAGCUUGGGCUUAGCAGUAAUAUUCUGGGAAAUUAUUUUCUUGAAGGCUGAAAAAAACUGGCUUUCCUCUUUAAAAACAGAACCAAAACCAUGACACGGUCACUUAGAAAGCGAUGACGACACCGGGGCAGUUCAAAAAAGCUCGCUCAAUGACGUGCUCAGCCUGGGGCAGCACCAAACGUGGAAGCGCAUCUGCGUCUCUUGGUCCAAGUAUGUACUGUACGUCACUAGUGCUAGUCGCAGCAAUGUGAAUUCAGAAGACAACUGGUUGAUGGGAAUUUUUUUCGUUUUUGUUUUCUGAACAUCAGGGCGAAGAGAGGGGAUCGAGCUCUUGAUCUCUGCUGCGGGAGCGGGGAUUUGGCGUUCCUUCUGUCUCAGAAGGUCGGCCUGGACGGAGAGGUCGGUGCUCUGCUGAAAUGUCGGAUUGGCUUCAGGGUUCAGAAUAUCCAAGCAAUCUUAUUUGGGUUGUCAAUCUCAUGGUACCAACCUCUCUCGAAUGUCACAGGUGAUGGGCGUCGAUUUCUCAAGGCAGCAACUACAAACUGCUGCUAGCCGCCAGGACCAGCGAUGGAAGGCUUGCUACAAGAACAUCAAGUGAGCACCCCCAAUGUGAGAGCUUGGGAAUUCUGAAGUUCCUGUUACGUGCAGUUUUUUUUCCAAUUAGGAUAUGCAGAAUGUGUUUUUCUUUCGAUCAGCUUAACAACCUAUGUGGUUAGCUAAGACAUGCUUUGUCGCAGAUGGAUCGAGGGCGAUGCACUUGAUUUACCUUUCACGGACCGCUACUUUGAUGCUGUUACAGUUGGUUAUGGAUUGCGCAAUGUGGUGAACAAACCCAAAGCGAUGCGAGAGAUUCUGAGCUCCUAAACCUAACCCUAGGUCACCGCCGCGAGGAGAAGGGGAUGAACGGGAGAGGUGGAAGACGACUCACUAGAAUCUGAAGAAGGAGCCGUCGGUGGUGCUCUGCUACUCACCUCGUCGAAGCCCAACCACGAACGCGGAAGCCGUCGGUCACCGCCGUGAGGAGAAGUCCAACCGGAAUCCCCCACGCCUCCGGCGCGGCCGCUGGGCUGGGCUAGGCGGCGGCCCUCUGGAUCGAGCCGGUCGUCGCCGGAACCCGGGCCGAAUCCCACGAACCAAGAAAGAAAGCAAGCAGGUCCGGCGGCGGUCGGCGAGCCGGGAGGCGGCGGGCGCUGCUGUUUGGUGGAAAGGGGGUAGGGGGGAGGCCGCGGGAGAAGAGGAGGGCACGACCUGGCUUAGGAAUGGCGCACCCCGAGCGGUGCGCCAUUAGAAUGUUUUUUUAUAUAGUAAUGGCGCAUGUAUAUGAGGUGCGCCUUCUCUAUAUUGUUAACCUCCGAAGUAGCAGCGAAGUGGUCCGUGGGUUUUGCCUCCUAGCAGGAGGUUACGGGUUCGAAUCCUCUUCCCCCCUCUUUUUUUUCCUUUUUUUUUCUAUGCAUUGUUUUCUUGUUCUGGUUGCACCUUGGUUUGAGAAGUGCCUAGUAUUUUUUUUUGAUGUUUGCAAGUAGAUGUCUAGUAUUUUUUUUGAUGUUUGCAAUUAGAUGCCUAUGAAUAUCUAGUGCCUCACAACAACAUCUAGUGCGGUGGAGCGGGGGAGGGUGCGGGGGGUGCUCGGCGGCGAGGGGGAUCUUGCGUGGGGUGAUAGCGAUCGAGAUGGAGGGGAUCGAGAUCGAGUGUCCUCAUGAAUAUUCAAUAUUUUUUCAUAUUGAAUAUGAAAAAAUAUCAUCAAAUUUAAAUACAAUCGAUCUUAGCUAGCUAUUUGUUCACAAUCUUCUUGCCCUUAUUUUUCGUAAAUGGAGUUCUUCUCUUGAACGGACGUCCUUUAGGUAGGGUGGUCCUGCUUCUUCUUGUGGUGUAUGCUGGUACUUCAUCAUCGUCAUCAUGUUCCAUCUUCGGGUCGCUGUACUUGUCGAAGUCUUGCUCAUUCGCGACUCCAUCCAUUUCGAUGAUCUUCCUUUUGCCUCUCCUCACGACAACACGACUGGGCUUUGGCGGGUCGGUAAUGAAGAAGCAUUGGUCCACUUGGGAAGCCAGUACCCAUGGCUCAUUUUUCGCGGUGACGUUUGCGCCCGCGGUCUUGGAUUUGGCUUCGGGUAUAACCAUGGUGGUGAAAUACCGGUCUUCUUUUAUGACGUUCUUGGCCCAUCUGACACGGAACAUCGGGACCUUCUCUCCAGCGUAGCUCAGCUCCCAGAUCUCCUCGAUCCUUCCGUAGUAUCUGUCCUUGUCGUUACCGGUGUAGGAUUCCAUCGUUACCCCGGAGUUCUGAUAACCAUCGCUCUUCAUGUCCUUUCCCUCGGUGUAGAAUGUGUAGCCGUUGGUAUCGUACACCUCAUACGUCAUCAGGUUGUGCUCGGCGCCCUGUGACAAGGCGAAUAUGAGUUGUUCUUCUGUGGAAGAAUCCUCAUGUAAAAGGUACGACAGUAGCUUCUGCUUGAACCAACGCGUGAAACAUGAGUUGUGCUCUUUGAUUAUAUCUCCGUCCGUCCUCUGUUGGCCUCGGUCAUUGUACGUCUUUUCAAUAAAGGUUUUGUGCUCUAUGACCCAAGGAUCGACCACGUCUAUGUGUUGUAGCGCGACUAGGUUUGCUCUUUCAAAGUCGGCGAGUCGAUCCUCGAAGUCGACAUGCAUUUCGCGGCGACCCUCACGGUGACCCCAUCCUGCGAGCCUGCCGAGGUGCCUGUUGACGGGCAGACCAAUGGGGUUCUCGAUGCCUAGAUAAUUCGUGCAGUAGGAAAUGCACUCUUCGGUCAGAAAGCCCCUGGCUAUGCUUCCCUCUGGACGUGACAUGUUGCGAACGUAUCCUUUGAUGACACCAUUCAUCCUUUCGAACGACAUCAUGCUAUGCAGGAAUGUCGACCCGAGUUGGAUGAUAUCCUCCACGAUAUGGACCAGCAGAUGCACCAUAACGUCGAAGAAUGCGGGUGGGAAGUACAUCUCAAGCUCGCAUAGUAUCACCACGAUCUCUUCCUGUAGCCUUCUGAGUUGCCUCACGCCAACCGACUUCUGAGAGAUGACGUCGAAAAAGUUGCAUAGGCCAAAUAGCAUUUCACAGACGUGCGCGUCCAUGAUCCCACGGAUUCCAACUGGAAGUAUCUGCGUCAUCAGCACGUGACAGUCAUGAGACUUCAUCCCGCUAAACUUCUGCUUCGCUGAGUCUAGGUAUCUGCUUAUCUUCCCCGCGUAACCGUAAGGAAGUUUUACUCCUAUGAGGCAGGUGAAAAACUGAUCAAUCUCCUCCUGACGUAGAGUGAAGCACGCGGGAGGGACGUCAUUUGUGGUCUUCUUGGACUUUUUGCCUUUGCGACGACUUUCCGUGUCCUGCUUCGCCUCAUCAUCAUCAUCAUCAUCAUCAUUAUUAGCGUGAAGCUCCUCCCUGAUGCCCACUGAUUUCAAGUCUGCCCUUGCUUUCGGUCCAUCUUUGGUCCUCUCUGGCAUGUUGAGCAGAGUACCAAGCAGACUCUCGCACACGUUCUUCGUGAUAUGCAUGACAUCAAGGCUGUGAGGCACACGGAGGAUCUUCCAGUACGGCAAGUCCCAGAAAACAGACCUCGUUUUCCAUACCUUCAGCAGCGGCUCUGGCGCAUUUCACUUAUUUCCCGGCUCUGGCGCCUUUCCCGGCGGUGGGCACUCUUUCCAAUUUUUCAAUAACUCGUAUAUUUCCUCGCCGCUCCACAUAAGAGGGCGUCUUCGGGGUUCGGUUUCACCAUCGAACAGAUCCUUGCAUUUUCUCCAUGUGUCAUCGUCGCGAAGCCACCUUCGAUGUCCCAUGAACACGGUUUUUGAAGACCCGGGAUCUCUAUCUAGCUGGCGAGACAUUGUGUCAUCCAUGCACCUGACGCAUCCAGAAAAUCCCUGGACCACCUACCCCGCGACAUAUUCGUAACCGAGAUAGUCGUGCACCGUCGUGAGCAGUGCGGCUCUCAUAGGGAAAUAUUCUUUCUCUGCGGCGUCCCACGUAUUGGCUAGCGUUUUCCACAGCGUGUCUAGCUCCUCUUUCAGCAGCCCCAGAUAUAGAUUGAUGUCGUUCCCUGGUUGUUUCGGCCCUUCAAUUAGCAUACUCAUGUGAAUGUACUUCCUCUUCAUGCACAACCAGGGGGGAAGGUUGUACAUCCACACAAACACAGGCCAGGUGCUAUAUGUGCUUCUCUAGCUGCCAAACGGAUUGACUCCAUCGGUGCUCGUGCCCAGCAUGAUGUUCCUUGGAUCGUCCCCAAAUUCUGGGUAUUCGUAGUUCAACGCUUGCCACUGGCUCGCAUCCUUAGGGUGAUUCAGCAUCUUGUCUUUUUUAUUUAUCUCCGGAUCAUUUCCGUCAUCUUCUCGCUUUUUCUCCUCCCUAUCCGCGUGCCAACGCAGGAGCUUUGCUACCUUAGGGUCCACGAAAUACCGUUGUAGACGAGGAGUGAUCGGAAAGUACCACACCACUUUUCGAGGAGCUUUCUUCCUCUUCUUGUAUCGGCUGACGUCGCACAUCAGACAUAUGGUAGACUCCGCGUGCUCGUCCCAAUAAAUGAUGUAGUUGUUCAUGCACACAUGGUAUUUCACGUGCGGUAAAUCCAGAGGACACACGAUUUUCUUGGCCACCUCGAAACUGGUCGGGCACUUGUUCCCCUUGGGAAGACGUUCGUGCCAGAAUGACAUGUUCUCGUCGAAGCACGCGUCGGUCAUUUUGUAUUUUACCUUCAUCUCCAGAGCCAUGAGCAUUACUUUCAGGCGGGUAUCCUCGGGCCUGCAUCCUUCAUACAAUGGAGUAACCGCGUCUAUCUCCAGUUGAUCCAGCUUGGCUUUCUCUCGGGCGGCAGCUCUUGCGUUAUCUGUCUGCUUGAGAAGCAACUCUUGAAUAUGAGGGUCCUGCACCCAGGCCAUCGAUGGUCCAUCAUCGUCUGCUCCGGCAUCUUCAUCUUCGUGAUCAUGCCCUUCGUCUGCUCCGGCAUCUUCCUCAUCAUCAUGACCGGCAUCUUCUACAUGAUGACUGUGUCCUGGAGAUUCUUCGUCUUCUCGCCCGCCCUCGCCGCGGUUGUCUUGCUCAUGCCCUUCCUCAUUUCUUUCCCGGCCCCCAUGGACAACUUCAUAAUCAUCUUCAUCACCUUGCCACCGAUAGCCAUCCAUGAAACCCCGCAAGAGCAGGUGGUCCCGCACCUUUACGGAAUCCGGGUCCAUAAGGCUCUUCAGCUUGCAUCUUCGACACAGACAUCUUAUCUCCGUCUUGUUCUUUUGAAGCAUCUCGGCCUUCGCGGAGCUCAAAAACCUAUUCACGAUGCCUUCGGUCAUCGUGCGGACCAUGGUCGCCUGCGGGGUAGAGCAAAACAAUAUUUUAGAACCAAAAAAAAAA